ensembl:lncRNA
GUGAUUCAUCCUAUUCAUUUAUUCAAUGAGAAUAUCUCGAUGGUGCAUGUAUGAAUAAUAAUAAUAACAAUAAUACAAAUAUUUGAGUCCAUUCUAAUAAUCUACUGCUUUUAUCUUUAAAGGGGUCAUCGGAUGCAAAACUCACUUUUAUAUGUUGAACAUAAAUGUGUAUUAGCAGUUAGGUACACAACCACAAUAUAAUGAUAAAAAUCCACCCAGUGGUCUUUUUUAAACUCAGCAGUUAAAUAAUAUCCCCUUUUUCAAAUCAAGCCAUUCUCAGCUUCUUGGCUGUGUGACAUCACACAGACCAUGGCUGCUCCCACGAUAGUUGAAUGACACUACCAUCUUACUUUAGACCCACCCUGAGUGAGCUGUGAACAGUCCGCCAUUGUUUUGACGCCGGAGCAGAGUCAUAGACAAGAACGGCUCCUAAGCGAUUGAGGGAAUGCUCCCACUGAACUAUCUAAAUGCAUCUAUGUUUGCACAAAUCAUUCGUGAUCCAGCUUCACCUACAGAUGAAAAUUUUCUCCCUUUUGCAUACUCUAAAUUGUCACCGGGCAUG